ensembl:rRNA 5S_rRNA 5S ribosomal RNA
CUGAACGUGCCCGAUCUCGUCUGAUCUCAGAAGCUAAGCAG